UUUGGGGACAAAACGGGAACUUUGGAAUAAGAUCAGAACAGACGGUUUCCCAGAACUUUGAACAAUUUCAUCCAUGGGAACCAAGUUAUAAACCAAAUAUGGAUUAUACUUCGCAUCUCUUGAAUAACCAUUAUAAUCAACUAGUACAACAAGGUAUUCCGCCUUACCAACCAAGACUAUCGGAUCAAAAUCAAUACGGAGCUGGAUUAUCGGAUCAAAAUCAAUACGGACUUGGAUUAUCGGAUCAAAAUCAAUACGGACCUGGAUUAUCGGAUCAAAAUCAAUACGGACCUGGGUUAUCGGAUCAAAAUCAAUACGGACCUGGAUUUUCGGAUCAGCGUCUGCAACAUCCCGAAAUGCAACAACAUACUCAGCAAAUAACAAUAAUUACACCACCUACCCAUGCGCAAACUUUCUACAAUAGUCCUAAUGGCGGAUUUGGAUUCAGUGGAUCCGGUUUCGAUGCGCCUGGAAUCAGAUUCGGUGUUCGACAUCCUUCCUUUUAUAGGCCGAACAUUUCACCAAUGUUCAUUCCCUAUGAAAAACCUACUUUCAUGGACAAAGUAGGACAAUUCGUAAAAAGCGAUGUUGGAAAAGCUAUCGGAGCUAUGGCAGCAGGAACGCUUUUCGUCAAAGCAGUCAGUAAUUAACUAGUAAAGAACUGUAUUGUAAUUGACCUACUUCUCAUGGUGUCUACUUCCAUUCCUUCACUAUUAAAGUCGCGCGAUGUUUGUAUAUAAUACGGCGAAUAAAAUGGUUGAUAGGGGCUCAACACACUCUAUAUUUAGUUUUGUUAUAUUUCUUUGAAAUACUUAUUAUAGAAAUACUUUAUGUUCGGAUGAGUGAAACAAAGAAGAACAUAAUCAUUGUUACUAUUUUCUGUCAU